GACGUCGAUAUUCGACGUCAUAAACACGAUCAACUUUGGUGUUUAUGACGUCGAUAUUCGACGUCAUAAACACGAUCAACUUUGGUGGUUAUGACGUCGAUAUUCGACGUCAUAAACACGAACAACUUUGGUGUUUAUGACGUCGAUAUUCGACG
rnacentral:miRNA from 1 species